CUGGGCGAGAGAGUGAGACCCUGUCUCAAAAAACAAAAAACUAUUAUCUGAAUUCAAUUUUUCUACAACACACCCCAAACAAAAAAACUUGUUUUAUACUUCUCCAUAGCUUAGUAUUACUUUUUAACACAAACACCUAUUCUCUGCCUGCAUGCACUGGAAUUGAGGUCUAUGGAUGCCUUUCCUGACCAUAUUUCUUCACGCUUGCUGCCCACUAGUGGCGUGAGGGCACAAUAACGAAUGUUUACUUUGCCCUUGGACUGUUCACAUCUGGGAACCGCAAAGGAGUGCGGUGGUCGGACUGUCAGCCUCGCCUCCUAUUGUUUGAUUUCCAGCAACUUAUUUUCUAAAGAUUGCUGGAGGUUCAACGUCUCUUCUGGGAUUUUCCUGAGCAGAAAGACCUCAUCCUAAUAAAACUGAGGCGCCAAUCCUGCUGGCUGGCAACUUUAGACAGGGAGGGUGAUUCUAUCUGAAGAUUAAUCCUAACUCUGGAACUCCUUGGGAAUGUCCAGGAGCUAGGAACGCAGUGUCCUCGGGAGCAGCAGGGCGCCAGUGGAGCAGGUGCCUCUGGGGCCGCACGGAAACCCAGCCAUGCCAGUUCCUCUACUGCGCCGGCAGGCGGCGGAGAGGCUGCGCAUGCGCGCUGGGCAGACGGUGGCCCGGAGACGACUCUCCCAGCCUCCUCCGGUCUCCCUGGGCAGCAUGAAGACCGCCGAGAACACCAGAGGAACCUGCAGCGACGGGCCGCGGAAACGAGUCCUCUGCGUCCUCUGCGGCCUCCCCGCGGCAGGAAAAUCGACUUUCGCACGCGCCCUCGCCCACCGGCUGCGGCAGGAACAGGGUUGGGCCGUUGGUGUCGUCGCGUAUGAUGAUGUCAUGCCCGACGCGUUUCUGGCCGGGGCAAGAGCGCGACCGGCGCCAUCCCAAUGGAAAUUGCUUCGACAGGAACUGUUGAAGUACCUGGAAUACUUCUUAAUGGCUGUCAUUAAUGGGUGUCAGAUGUCUGUCCCACCCAGCAGGACUGAAGCCAUGUGGGAAGAUUUUAUAACCUGCCUAAAGGAUCAAGAUCUGAUAUUUUCUGCAGCAUAUGAGGCCCAGUCUUGCUACCUCUUAACAAAAACUGCUGUUUCUAGACCUUUGUUUUUGGUUUUGGAUGACAAUUUUUAUUAUCAGAGUAUGAGAUAUGAAGUCUACCAGCUGGCUCGGAAAUAUUCACUGGGCUUUUGCCAGCUGUUUUUAGACUGUCCUCUUGAGACCUGUUUACAGAGGAAUGGCCAGAGGCCACGGGCACUGCCUCCUGAGACCAUCCACCUGAUGGGAAGAAAGCUAGAAAAGCCCAACCCUGAGAAAAAUGCUUGGGAACACAACAGCCUCACAAUUCCGAGUCCAUCAUGUGCUUCGGAGGCCAGCCUGGAGGUGACUGAUUUAUUGCUCACUGCUUUGGAAAAUCCAGUAAAAUAUGCUGAGGACGAUAUGGAACAAAAGGAGACAGAUAGAAUUAUUUGUUCAACUAACGUUCUUCAUAAAGCUGAUCAGACACUCCGAAGGAUUGUAUCUCAGACAAUGAAGGGAGCAAAAGGGUAAUCAGGAAGGCUUCUCAGAGAUGACAUUUAAGCAAAGAUGGGAAAGAGCGAACCAUGCAGAUAUCUGGAGGAUCAUUCUAGGCAAUGAACACAUCAAGUGCAGAAGCCCAGAGGUUGGUUGGAGUGUUGUGGAAUAGAGAAGAGGCCAUUGAGCAUGGGGUGAGAUGAACAAGUGCUUCCUCACAACUUGAAGCUUCUAGCAGAAGAACUUAACAAGCUCAAAGCAGAGUUUUUGGAAGACCUAAAACAAGGCAACAA